rnacentral:rRNA from 1 species
GCGGACGGGUGAGUAAUGUCUGGGAAACUGCCUGAUGGAGGGGGAUAACUACUGGAAACGGUAGCUAAUACCGCAUAACGUCGCAAGACCAAAGAGGGGGACCUUCGGGCCUCUUGCCAUCGGAUGUGCCCAGAUGGGAUUAGCAAGUAGGUGGGGUAACGGCUCACCUAGGCGACGAUCCCUAGCUGGUCUGAGAGGAUGACCAGCCACACUGGAACUGAGACACGGUCCAGACUCCUACGGGAGGCAGCAUG